rnacentral:rRNA from 1 species
AUUGAACGCUGGCGGCAUGCUUUACACAUGCAAGUCGAACGGUAACAGGCCGCAAGGUGCUGACGAGUGGCGAACGGGUGAGUAAUGCAUCGGAACGUGCCCAGUCGUGGGGGAUAACGCAGCGAAAGCUGUGCUAAUACCGCAUACGAUCUAUGGAUGAAAGCGGGGGACCGUAAGGCCUCGCGCGAUUGGAGCGGCCGAUGUCAGAUUAGGUAGUUGGUGGGGUAAAGGCCUACCAAGCCAACGAUCUGUAGCUGGUCUGAGAGGACGACCAGCCACACUGGGACUGAGACACGGCCCAGACUCCGACGGGAGGCAGCAGUGGGGAAUUUUGGACAAUGGGCGCAAGCCUGAUCCAGCAAUGCCGCGUGCAGGAAGAAGGCCUUCGGGUUGUAAACUGCUUUUGUACGGAACGAAACGGUCUGGGUUAAUACCCUGGGCUAAUGACGGUACCGUAAGAAUAAGCACCGGCUAACUACGUGCCAGCCGCCGCCGUAAAAC